CUCGUCAGCUGACACGCUGGCUGGAGGGUCAGCUCCUAAAUACGCUGAAGAUGAAUGAUUUCUGAGUCGGUUUCUGCAUCCAUGUUCCAACUGUCAUGCAACUAAUGGUUCAAUUUCAUCAAUACAGCUAAUAUAUGGGCUCAUUGAUUGCUGCAGCGAAAAUCUUUGGAGGGUUUGAGGAGAGGCUCAAAGCUGUCCUGAAGGAAGUCACUGCUUCCAAUUGGGCAGAUAAUCUUAUUUAUUGAUGAGAUCCACACUGUUGUUACUGCAGGGAGAUCACAUUUUUCCAGGAGUCAUACCACUAGCCAUCAAGGAUGUUUUCAGCACAAUCCAAGAUGUAAAUUUGUGACAAUAACGUGAAGCUGUGCAGCCCCUACUAUGUUAGGCCAAACGUUCAAGCGUUCAUUAUUUCCUAACAAAUUUAUCUUCUCCUUAUAGACUCCAAGAAGGGAGUUUUGUCAUCCUAAUACCUGCACUUCUUAAUGUUUGGUUACUUUGGUAUAGUCAAAUAUGCGAAUUUUGGUUACCGGCAGAGCUGGAUUCAUUGGUUCUCACCUUGUUGAUCUUGAAUGGAGAAUGAAAAAAUGAGGUCGUUGUAGCUGAUAAUUACUUCACUGGUUCAAUGGAUAACCUGAAAAAAUAGAUUGACUAUCCAAGAUUCAAGCUUAUUCGUCAUGAUGUGACUGAGCCAUUAAGUAUUGAAGUUGAUCAGAUUUACCAUUUUGCUUGCCCUGCUUCCCCAAUUUUCUAUGCGGUAAAGGUUCAGUGUCUGCAACAAGGUGGUCCUGGGUACAAGAAUACGAUCGAAGGUUACAGGGGGAAGGUACAGAUCCAAGCUUUUUCCAUUUAGACUAGAGUGUAGCGGUGCAUGGGGAUUCGCUGGAGCCAGUGAGGGUAACCCACGAAUCAGCACGGAUUUACUGCACCGUGCUAUUAUGUCAGUAAAAUAGAGAUUGAUACAAAACUCCCAUAAUUGGUGAUCGGAAAUGGGCAAUAUGGAUUUGUUCUUUCAAUAUACCUAUGGCACCGAGGAAGACUUGUUCAAUUGUUUGUAGUGCUCGGAACUUUUACCCAUUGACAAUGCCGGGGAGGGAAUGCGUGGUGGCAGGAAAAACACUGGUGUUGCACUCCUGGUUCUGAUAUCUGCAGUGUGUACCGAGGCUGGAAUGUGUGCGAUUCUUGCACGUAGGAAAACCAUGACAGAGAAAGACUUCCUUGAUGCUGUCAGCAAGGUCAUCAAGGGUUGACAAAAAUUCAGUGCGACGUAGAAGUCCAUGCUAUACAACUGAGGAAUUCGGAUGGCUCAAGGGUUACCAAUAAUCCAUUGCGACGACGAAGUACAUGUUUUACAACUGAGGAAUUUCGGAUGGCUCAGGGGUUACCUAAAAUUUGUUGCGACGUCGUAGUACAUGUUGUACAACUGAGGAAUUCCGAUGGCUAUUGAUAAUAGUGAGACGUCGUUUACAGCUAAGGAAGGUUAUUGACAAUGAUAAUACGUGGUUAUAAUUGUGGCUGUUCGUCAGAUGCAUUUCUUUGUUACAGUUAGAACCUCCUCUAGAAUCUCCAAACUGUACUUAGUUUCUGAGUUUUCGGAGUAACUAGUGAGUCUAACUGCGUAUACCAUCUCAACUUCGAAGGUGCUUUAUGUUAUGUCCUCUCUUAGUUUGCU